rnacentral:rRNA from 1 species
UACGAAGGGGGCUAGCGUUGUUCGGAUUUACUGGGCGUAAAGCGCACGUAGGCGGAUCUUUAAGUCAGAGGUGAAAUCCCAAGGCUCAACCUUGGAACUGCCUUUGAUACUGGGGAUCUUGAGUCCGGGAGAGGUGAGUGGAACUGCGAGUGUAGAGGUGAAAUUCGUAGAUAUUCGCAAGAACACCAGUGGCGAAGGCGGCUCACUGGCCCGGUACUGACGCUGAGGUGCGAAAGCGUGGGGA